AUGAACCCCUCAGGAUGGUUGUUUUUCAGAACUUAUGGAAUAUGCUGUGUAUUAAGAACAACUCCACUGGGCCCGAAGUAGCAUGCUGUAAUGAACACAACAGUGUGUCCAGUGACAGAUACAGUCAUCCUAAGUGGGCCCAAAUGGAGUUAACAGUGAUUACAUUUACCCCCAUGCUGAAAAAAAUAAAAUAAAUAAAAUUGACAAAGUAUAUGAAACCUGGUUCUAAAGACACUGGCUAUCAGUCAACAAAGGAGAGUGGUCCCUGAGAGACAGGACACACAUGAGCUUUGUCAGACAUCUAAACUACCAAACUCAAGAGUUCUUACUCACAUCUAAAUCAUCCACUUCCUUGAAUUCCUGGCAGUGAGAUUUGGUUUAGGAUUUCAAGCCAAUCGGAAU